AGUGAACGCUGGCGGUAGGCCUAACACAUGCAAGUCGAACGGCAGCACAGUAAGAGCUUGCUCUUACGGGUGGCGAGUGGCGGACGGGUGAGGAAUACAUCGGAAUCUACUUUUUCGUGGGGGAUAACGUAGGGAAACUUACGCUAAUACCGCAUACGACCUACGGGUGAAAGCAGGGGAUCUUCGGACCUUGCGCGAUUGAAUGAGCCGAUGUCGGAUUAGCUAGUUGGCGGGGUAAAGGCGCACCAAGGCGACGAUCCGUAGCUGGUCUGAGAGGAUGAUCAGCCACACUGGAACUGAGACACGGUCCAGACUCCUACGGGAGGCAGCGGUGGGGACUAUUGGACAAUGGGCGCAAGCCUGAUCCAGCCAUACCGCGUGGGUGAAGAAGGCCUUCGGGUUGUAAAGCCCUUUUGUUGGGAAAGAAAAGCAGCAGGUUAAUACCCCGCUGUUCUGACGGUACCCAAAGAAUAAGCCCCGGCUAACUUCGUG
rnacentral:rRNA from 1 species